GACGAACGCUGGCGGCGUGCCUAAUACAUGCAAGUAGAACGCACAGUUUAUACCGUAGCUUGCUACACCAUAGACUGUGAGUUGCGAACGGGUGAGUAACGCGUAGGUAACCUGCCUGGUAGCGGGGGAUAACUAUUGGAAACGAUAGCUAAUACCGCAUAAUAUUAAUUAUUGCAUGAUAAUUAAUUGAAAGGUGCAAUUGCACCACUACCAGAUGGACCUGCGUUGUAUUAGCUAGUAGGUGAGGUAACGGCUCACCUAGGCGACGAUACAUAGCCGACCUGAGAGGGUGAUCGGCCAAACUAGGACUGAGACACGGCCCAGACUCCUACGGGAGGCAGCAGGAGGGAAUCUUCGGCAAUGGACGAAAGUCUGACCGAGCAACGCCGCGUGAGUGAAGAAGGUUUUCGGAUCGUAAAGCUCUGUUGUAAGAGAAGAACGGGUGUGAGAGUGGAAAGUUCACACUGUGACGGUAUCUUAACAGAAAGGGACGGCUAACUACGUG
rnacentral:rRNA from 1 species